rnacentral:lncRNA from 1 species
GCGCCUCUUUCGAAACAUUAAGUUGGAUGCCCCUACGUUUGACGGUUGUCUAGAUCCUAGUGCAUUCAAUCAAUGGGUUAGAGAUAUGGAUCGCUUCUUUGCAUGGUAUGGGGUCCCGGAAGAUCGGAGGGUACAAUUUGCCAGUUUGAAGUUAACUGGCACUGCUCAGCUCUUUUGGGAGAGUGUUGAGGACCUCCUUGAAAGACGUCAUGCUCCCCCUGUUGGGAGUUGGGAUGAAAUGAAGCGCCGCCUAAAAAUAUUUACCCCAAUCUUAUAGGGGUAACUUGCUGGAUCAAUGGAACGCACUUACACAAGGCAAUCGACCUGUGACCGAAUAUGUCGCUCAGUUUGAUGAGCUUCGAAUGAAAUGUCAGGUUGUUGAGGAUGAAGUUAUGACUUUAAGUAGGUUUAGGCAAGGCUUAAAAGACGAACUUAGGCGCGAGCUUAUCCUUAGGGGUGUCACCACUCUUGACCACGCCUACUCUUUCGUUCGGGAUUAUGAAUUAGUGACUAGGACACCGUAUAGAAAUCGUAGUGACUCCCGCACUACAACCUCAUCUGCAUCCACGCCAUCCAACCUCAUCUGCCUCCACGCCAUCCCCUAAGUCUAUUUUAGGUCCUCCUCCCUCUAAUACCACCCCUGCAUCGGAUAGCAAAGGUAGAGGUUCUGAGGUUUCAAGGACAUCCUCCCGUUUGCAAUGCUUCAACUGUAAGGGUUUUGGUCACAUUGCUUCUAAGUGCCCUAGUCGAGCCCUAGUUCUGGACGAACGUGAGGGUAUAGUCGUCGAACCUAAGUUAGAAGAGUUUGAAGACUUGGAGGACAGUGAGGAUGCCUUCUUAGGUUGUAUUCAGGCUAGUCCCAUUAUCCCACAUACACCCAGAGUCGGUGUCGUCCGUUGCACCCUCACCCAGCCUAAGGAUGCCGACGAUUGGCGCCGUCAUGCCAUCUUCCACACCUACAUCAAAAUUAAUAACAAGGGCUGUAAACUUAUCCUGGAUAGUGGCAGCUGUAUUAAUGCGGUUUCGAAGGCUACUAUAUCCCGUCUAGGGUUGAAGCCAGUUCCUCACCCCCAACCUUAUAGUGUCUCUUGGGUUGACACCUCCUCUAUAGCUGUUAAGGAGCGUUGUUUAGUCCCUAUCCAGUUCCUGGAGUAUAAGGACCAUAUAUGGUGUGACGUUAUUUCGAUGGACGUCGGGCACAUCAUCUUAGGACGACCUUGGCUAUUUGACCUAGAUGUAACCAUAUAUGGUCGAUCCAAUUCCUGCUCCUUCGUGUUUAAUGGAAAGAAGAUUCACCUUAACCCACUACCCCCAAAGCCGGCUAGCUCACCAGAAGCGAAGAAAAGUGUGGAACAAAAGGGGUUGCAUAUCAUUAGUCCUACAGAGUUUGAGCGUACAAUUGUUGGUGACUCAAUUGUGUUCGCCUUAGUAGUCAUGGAGGUUUCAUCUAACUCCACAAGUGAGGAUACUGCGGAAGUCCAAUCGAUCCUUCAGGAGUUUCGAGAUGUCUUUCCGUCGGACCUACCUGAUCAUCUACCUCCGCGAAGAGAUAUUCAACAUGCCAUAGAUUUCGUCCCCGGUGCAUCCCUUCCAAAUUUGCCACAUUAUAGGAUGAAUCCUACCGAGCACGCUGAGCUCCAAAGGCAAGUAGAUGACCUUCUCAACAAAGGAUUCAUUCGUGAGAGUUUAAGCCCAUGUGCUGUCCCCGCCCUAUUGACGCCCAAAAAGGAUGGAUCUUGGAGAAUGUGUGUGGAUAGUCGCGCUAUCAAUAGGAUCACGGUGAAGUAUCGUUUUCCCAUUCCCAGGCUUGAUGAUAUGCUGGAUAUGAUGGUUGGCGCGACAAUCUUUUCAAAGAUCGAUCUAAAGAGUAGGUACCAUCAAAUUAGAAUUCGCCCAGGGGACGAGUGGAAGACUGCGUUUAAGACGAAAGAUGGCCUUUAUGAAUGGCUGGUCAUGCCUUUUGGGCUAAGUAAUGCGCCGAGUACCUUCAUGCGGGUAAUGACACAAACUCUUUGGCCGUUCAUGGGUAAAUUUCUUGUUGUCUACUUUGAUGAUAUCCUCAUCUAUAGUAAAACUAAGGACCAACACCGUGACCACCUCAAACAAGUUUGCUCUACCCUUCGCGAGACUAACCUGUAUGCUAAUGUCAAGAAAUGUUCCUUUUUCACCGAUAGCGUAGUUUUUAAAGGUUCAUUGUCUCGUCGACAGGGGUGUCUGCUGACCCUACUAAGAUUCAGGCGAUAAUUGACUGGCCUGAGCCUAAGGCCAUUCAUGAUGUCAGGAGCUUU